GUCCCGGUAGCUCAGUGGAUAGAGCGGUCGCCUCCUAAGCGACAGGUCGGAAGUUCGAUUCCUCUCCGGGACA
rnacentral:tRNA from 1 species